rnacentral:rRNA from 1 species
AUUGAACGCUGGCGGCAUGCCUAACACAUGCAAGUCGAGCGGAUGAAGGGAGCUUGCUCCUGGAUUCAGCGUCGGACGGGUGAGUAAUGCCUAUGAAUCUGCCUGGUAGUGGGGGAUAACGUCCGGAAACGGGCGCUAAUACCGCAUACGUCCUGAAGGAGAAAGUGGGGGAGCUUCGGACCUCACGCUAUCAGAGGAGCCUAGGUCGGAUUAGCUAGUUGGUGGGGUAAAGGCCUACCAAGGCGACGAUCCGUAACUGGUCUGAGAGGAUGAUCAGUCACACUGGAACUGAGACACGGUCCAGACUCCUACGGGAGGCAGCAGUGGGGAAUAUUGGACAAUGGGCGAAAGCCUGAUCCAGCAAUGCCGCGUGUGUGAAGAAGGUCUUCGGAUUGUAAAGCACUUUAAGUUGGGAGGAAGGGCAGUAAGUUAAUACCUUGCUGUUUUGACGUUACCAACAGAAUAAGCACCGGCUAACUUCGUG